CACGUAGGCACCAAGCGUUGUCCGGAUUUAUUGGGCGUAAAGAGCUCGUAGGCGGUUCAGUAAGUCGGGUGUGAAAACUCUGGGCUUAACCCAGAGCCGCCAUCCGAUACUGCUGAACUUGAGUACGGUAGGGGAGUGGGGAAUUCCUGGUGUAGCGGUGAAAUGCGCAGAUAUCAGGAGGAACACCGGUGGCGAAGGCGCCACUCUGGGCCGAAACUGACGCUGAGGAGCGAAAGCGUGGGUAGCAAACAGG
rnacentral:rRNA from 1 species